AUGACCGGAAGCAAGGACUUGGUGGUGGACGUGCACAAGAUUUCAUCUAUGCCCACCAAUGUCGAGUGGGGUGAUGGCUCGCCUUCUAAGGUAUUGGGUCUUGGCAAGGUUGUCAUUUCUCAUGAUCUCACGAUCGAGAAAGUCAUGCUUGUUGAGUCCCUUGCAUACAAUUUACUUUCCGUUCGUCAACUUGCACUCAUGGGCUUUGCCACUUUCUUUGAUAUUGAUACCGUGGCCCUCUUGUGGAGCAAGACUCUUAAAGUAGCCUUUGUUGGGCAUGUCGAGAACGGUCUUUAUGUGAUUAACUUUUCAGAGCGACCCACUAAGACCGCGACAUGCCUAAUGGCUAAAGUUGACGUGGGAUGGCUUUGGCAUCGCCGUUUAGCCCAUGUUAAUAUGAGAUCUUUGCAAAUUCUUCUCAAGGGGGACCAUGUCCGUGGACUAACAAACAUUAGUUUUUCCAAAGAUCGUGCUUGCAGUGCUUGUAUCGAAGGGAAGCUACAUGAGAAGGCUCACCCUCCCACGACUAUCAUCUACUUGAAGAGGCCCUUGGAGCUCCUUCACUUGGAUCUCUUUGGACCUCCAUCCUUUGAUAGUCUUGGGGGUAGAAAGUAUUGCUUGGUGAUUGUGGAUGAUUAUUCAAGAUACACUUGGGUAUAUUUCUUCAAGUAG
rnacentral:rRNA from 1 species